GUGUGCUGUCCGAGGAAAUAAAACUCGCGCCGAUCACCUGACUCACUGGAGUCUACUCCCGGACGUACAGUACGUUAGGUGCAGCAUGUUUAGUAUAUUUCAAAUAUAUGUAACACCACAAGAACAUUUUAGAAAUGCGUCAUUUUAGAAUGUCAAGGAUAAAAUAAUUUAAAAAAAAAUGUAAUUAAUUAAUAAGUGUAGGGGGUCACGUGAUUGCGCGAAAGCUUGUGUGACGUCACAGAGUUGUAGAAGUAGUAUAAAAGGCAGACGCUCAAACUUCGAACGAGACAGUUCAGAAGAUUGUUGUGAGUGAGAGCAAGUGUAGAGAAUCGACAGAAAGUGGUUACUGACUGAGACGCUUUAGUCGACACGCAGUGUACAGAAAAAGUCUAUUCAGACUAUUCAGUUUUACACACGGUUUAUAGCAUAAUCACGAAGCAUGUCCAAGACAUCUGUGUUUCUCGCGGAGUGCGGUGAAGUUAAGAGAGAAGCUAAGGAUAGGCUGGGGAUGAUCAGCCUUACCUCACACGUAAUGUCCGAUUCACAUAGCAUCAAAGACGUGGCAACUUACAAAAAAUCUGUUGAGACAAUAACAGGAGAUUCAGGGCAAGUUAGCUCAGAUAAUCAAGUUGGCAUGAAGGCUUGUCCUACAGGCAGUGUGGAGAACAGCCCAACAGAAAAACCUUCAAAAGGGAAGAAGGGGAAAGAAGUCUGUGGUGUCUUCCGGAGGGUAUGGAAGGCUGUAAAGCGCCCUUUCAAUUGCUGCAACCCAAACAGAGUGGUGUGUCUUACGCCACAGCUGGACCUAGACGGUUCAGAGCUAAUGCCCACCCCAAGUCCCCCAAGAAUCACACCAGUGGCAGACAACGAUCCUGCCGACCCUGAGCUGGUGUGUCUGCCAGGCCAGGUCUGUGAAGAUCUUGAGUUGUCAUGUGUGCCAGGUCCCUCCAGGGCUGAGCAAACAGUGGACGAAGAUCUGGCCGAUCCGGAGUCGCCUGUGGCAGAUCCGUCUAGUUCUGACCUGGGUGACGAAAAAACUAAAAAGGGGAGUAAAAAGAAUGCAGUCCAUGCAUUCUUCCGGAGAUGCCGUAAGGCUGUAAAGCACUUCUUCCUCUGCCGCGAGUCAAACUCCGUCCAAGUUCCAUCUGAGAUGAAGUCAGUAGAUGACCCCAUCCAUGUUGAGCCUGAGCCAUGCUGUCUGAUCAGUUCUGACCAGGUCAGCGCAGCUCUUCAUUCCUCCACGUCUGUGCAUGAAACCGACACCGAUCAAGCCGUAUCGAUGCAUGCGUCAGAUUCAUCAGAUUCAGAGAUCAGUCUGUAUUGUGGAUCUAGAGUGUCUCUCUUUCUGGUGGGAGAUAUGAUAGGAUAUGGAAGUUUUGGCAAGGUGUAUGAGGGAACCCACAUAUUUAACGAUAGAAUUAAGGUCGCCAUGAAGUACAUCCACAAGCACAAAACUGACCGCUAUCUUGACAUUGUUGGUCAUUCCAAACCUGUAAUUGCAGAAGUGGCAAUGUUGCUUAAGUUGGGAGAAGCUCCAUUAUGUCCCAACAUCAUCAAAUUAUACCACUGGAUUGAGAAUAAGAAGAGCUUUGUGCUCAUUAUGGAGUACCCGCAUCCAUGCAUUACCUUGCAUCAGUACAUCACAUAUUCAGACGACAUGAAUGAAGGAAAAGCAUGCUGGUUUAUCCGUCAGUUAGUCCAAGCUGUGAAACACUGCGUUAAACAUGGAGUCUUCCAUGGUGACAUCCACACGGGGAACAUGCUGGUGACUGACUACAGUUUGGAGCUCAAACUAAUUGACUUUGGUUGUGCUCAUCCAAUCAGCAGUGAGGGCCUUCUCAGCAGUCUAUAUCGAGGAGCACCACUCUUCACCCCACCUGAGGUCAUAAGGCAUACCAAAUUCGAUGCUGAGCCAGCAUAUGUCUGGGCAAUAGGUGUUGUGCUGUUUGAAAUCUUGCACGGGUAUUUGCCAUUUGGAAGCAAAGACGAAAUACUGCGUGACUAUGUUAAAGCGAAACCGACUUUAUCCUCAGCAUGCCAUGACCUGAUUUUCCAGUGUUUGAACCGCAAUCCAGCAAACAGGCUAAUGCUACAGAAUCUAGAAGAGCACAGGUGGUUUAAGAACUAGAUUGCAAGAAGACAGCGGAUCCCAUGACUAAGAUAGAUUAGAAAAGAAAAACUUGCAAAAGGGAGAAGUGGGAAAGAAGUCUGUGCUCUUUGUCAGAAAGUAUGGAAGGAUGUAAAGCUGUGAUGGUGAUGGGAGGUCUUACACCACAGCCGGAUCUAGACGGUUCAGAGCAAAUGCCUGCCCCAAGUCCUUUCAGAAUCACACCAGUGGCUGACACACGUCCUGCCGACCCUGAGCUGAAAAGGAAGGAAGCCAAUGCAUUCUACCGGAGAUUCCUUAAGGCCGUAAAGCACCUCUUCCUCUGCUGCAACUCGAACAGAUUCUGAGACAAUACCUGUUCAAGUCCCCUCUGAGAUGAAGUCAGCAGAAGACACAUGCCUGUUGAUCCUCAGCCAGACUGUCUGAGCAGAUCUGUGCAGAACUUCAGUCCCCGUCUGUGCAAGCGGCUGACGCAGAUCCAGCCACACCAGAGAUGUUGCCUGUGUCAAAUUCAUCAGCGUCAUCUG